rnacentral:rRNA from 1 species
GUGACUGCGUACCUUUUGUAUAAUGGGUCAGCGACUUAUAUUCUGUAGCAAGGUUAACCGAAUAGGGGAGCCGAAGGGAAACCGAGUCUUAACUGGGCGUUAAGUUGCAGGGUAUAGACCCGAAACCCGGUGAUCUAGCCAUGGGCAGGUUGAAGGUUGGGUAACACUAACUGGAGGACCGAACCGACUAAUGUUGAAAAAUUAGCGGAUGACUUGUGGCUGGGGGUGAAAGGCCAAUCAAACCGGGAGAUAGCUGGUUCUCCCCGAAAGCUAUUUAGGUAGCGCCUCGUGAAUUCAUCUCCGGGGGUAGAGCACUGUUUCGGCAAGGGGGUCAUCCCGACUUACCAACCCGAUGCAAACUGCGAAUACCGGAGAAUGUUAUCACGGGAGACACACGGCGGGUGCUAACGUCCGUCGUGAAGAGGGAAACAACCCAGACCGCCAGCUAAGGUCCCAAAGUCAUGGUUAAGUGGGAAACGAUGUGGGAAGGCCCAGACAGCCAGGAUGUUGGCUUAGAAGCAGCCAUCAUUUAAAGAAAGCGUAAUAGCUCACUGGUCGAGUCGGCCUGCGCGGAAGAUGUAACGGGGCUAAACCAUGCACCGAAGCUGCGGCAGCGACGCUUAUGCGUUGUUGGGUAGGGGAGCGUUCUGUAAGCCUG